GUGCUCACUUCGGCAGCAUAUAUACUAAAAUUAAAGCAAGACAGAGAAGAUGAGCAUGGCCCCUGCUCAAGGAUGACACACAAAUUUAUGAAGCGUUUUGUAUUUUU
ensembl:snRNA U6 U6 spliceosomal RNA